CGGGACGGGUGAAGUAACGCGUAACGAAACUCGCGUAUACGGUGGGAUACACUUAGAAAUAGGUGCUAAUACUGCAUAAGCGCACAGCUUCGCAUGGAGCGGUGUGAAAAACUCUGGUGGUAUACGAUGGUUCCGCGUCUGAUUAGCUAGUUGGUGGGGUAAUGGCCUACCAAGGCAACGAUCAGUAGCCGGCCUGAGAGGGUGAACGGCCACAUUGGGACUGAGACACGGCCCAAACUCCUACGGAAGGCAGCAG
rnacentral:rRNA from 1 species